rnacentral:rRNA from 1 species
ACCGGAGCUAAUACCGGAUAAUCCUUUUCCUCACAUGAGGAAAAGCUGAAAGUCGGUUUCGGCUGACACUUACAGAUGGGCCCGCGGCGCAUUAGCUAGUUGGUGAGGUAACGGCUCACCAAGGCGACGAUGCGUAGCCGACCUGAGAGGGUGAUCGGCCACACUGGGACUGAGACACGGCCCAGACUCCUACGGGAGGCAGCAGUAGGGAAUCUUCCACAAUGGACGAAAGUCUGAUGGAGCAACGCCGCGUGAGCGAUGAAGGCCUUCGGGUCGUAAAGCUCUGUUGUUAGGGAAGAACAAGUACCGGAGUAACUGCCGGUACCUUGACGGUACCUAACCAGAAAGCCACGGCUAACUACGUGCCAGCAGCCGCGGUAAUACGUAGGUGGCAAGCGUUGUCCGGAAUUAUUGGGCGUAAAGCGCGCGCAGGCGGUCCUUUAAGUCUGAUGUGAAAGCCCACGGCUCAACCGUGGAGGGUCAUUGGAAACUGGGGGACU